ACGAACGCUGGCGGCGUGCUUAACACAUGCAAGUCGAACGGAAAGGCCCUGCUCUUGUGGGGUGCUCGAGUGGCGAACGGGUGAGUAACACGUGAGUAACCUGCCCUUGACUUUGGGAUAACUUCAGGAAACUGGGGCUAAUACCGGAUAGGAGCUCCUGCUGCAUGGUGGGGGUUGGAAAGUUUCGGCGGUUGGGGAUGGACUCGCGGCUUAUCAGCUUGUUGGUGGGGUAGUGGCUUACCAAGGCUUUGACGGGUAGCCGGCCUGAGAGGGUGACCGGCCACAUUGGGACUGAGAUACGGCCCAGACUCCUACGGGAGGCAGCAGUGGGGAAUAUUGCACAAUGGGCGGAAGCCUGAUGCAGCAACGCCGCGUGCGGGAUGACGGCCUACGGGUUGUAAACCGCUUUCGCCUGUGACGAAGCGUGAGUGACGGUAAUGGGUAAAGAAGCACCGGCUAACUACGUG
rnacentral:rRNA from 1 species